rnacentral:rRNA from 1 species
CAACAGCUAGAGUUUGAUCCUGGCUCAGGACGAACGCUGGCGGCGUGCCUAACACAUGCAAGUCGAGCGGACCGACCCGCCUCUUCGGAGACGGGGACAGGUCAGCGGCGAACGGGUGAGUAACACGUGGGCAACCUGCCCCGAAGAUCGGGAUAACUCCGGGAAACCGGGGCUAAUACCGGAUACCUUGGCUUUACCGCAUGGCGGAGCCAAGAAAGGUAGCUUUGCUUCCGCUUCGGGAUGGGCCCGCGUCCCAUUAGCUUGUUGCGGGUAACGGCCACCAAGGCGACGAUGGGUAGCCGGCCUGAGAGGGUGUACGGCCACACUGGGACUGAGAUACGGCCCAGACUCCUACGGGAGGCAGCAGUGAGGAAUAUUGCGCAAUGGGCGAAAGCCUGACGCAGCGACGCCGCGUGGACGACGAAGGCCUUCGGGUUGUAAAGUCCUGUCAGGAGGGACGAAGUGGCUUCGGCCAUGACGGUACCUCGGUAGGAAGCUCCGGCUAAACUACGUGCC